rnacentral:tRNA from 1 species
GAGCCCGUGGUUCAAUGUUUAGAGCGUUUGACUUCUGAUCAACAGGUGGCGGGUUCG